GUGCUUGAUUUGGCAGCACAGAUACUAAAAUUGGAAUGAUACAGAGAGAUUAGCACGGCCCCUGCACAAGGAUGACACGCAGAUUCGUGAAGCGUGCCAUAUUUUU
ensembl:snRNA U6 U6 spliceosomal RNA